GAUGAACGCUGGCGGCGUGCCUAAUACAUGCAAGUCGAGCGAACAGACGAGGAGCUUGCUCCUACGACGUUCGCGGCGGAAGGGGGAGUAAAACGUGGAUAACCUACCUAUAAGACUGGGAUAACUUCGGGAAACCGUAGCUAAUACCGGAUAAUAUAUUGAACCGCAUGGUUCAAUAGUGAAAGACGGUUUUGCUUUCACUUAUAGAUGGAUCCGCGCCGCAUUAGCUAGUUGGUAAGGUAACGGCUUACCAAGGCAACGAUGAGUAGCCGACCUGAGAGGGUGAUCGGCCACACUGGAACUGAGACACGGUCCAGACUCCUACGGGAGGCAGCAGUAGGGAAUCUUCCGCAAUGGGCGAAAGCCUGACGGAGCAACGCCGCGUGAGUGAUGAAGGUCUUCGGAUCGUAAAACUCUGUUAUUAGGGAAGAACAAAUGUGUAAGUAACUAUGCACGUCUUGACGGUACCUAAUCAGAAAGCCACGGCUAACUACGUG
rnacentral:rRNA from 1 species